rnacentral:rRNA from 1 species
AGAGUUUGAUCCUGGCUCAGAAUGAACGCUGGCGGCGUGGAUUAGGCAUGCAAGCCGAACGCGAAAGGGAUUCUUCGGAAACCUGAGUAGAGUGGCGAACUGGUGAGUAGCACUUGGAGAACCUGCCCUCGAGUGGGGAACACGUCCGAAAGACGUAAAUUCCGCAUAACGUCUCCUUCCCGCAUGUGAAGGAGGCCAAAGGUGCCCUCCGAUUCAAGGUACCGCUGGAGGAUGGCUCCGAGCCCUAUUAGCUUGUUGGUGGGGUAACGGCCCACCAAGGCGAUGAUGGGUAGCUGGCCUGAGAGGGUGGCCAGCCACACUGGGAUUGAGAUACUGCCCAGACUCCUAAGGGAGGCAGCAGUCGAGAGGCAUCCGCAAUGGGGGGAAACCCUGACGGUGCGACGCCGCGUGGACGAUGAAGGCUCUAGGGGUUGUAAAAGUCCUGUCACAG